AUCCUGGAGCUGGAGUAGGUUCCAAGGGUUGGGCUGUUCGCCCAUUAAAGAGGCACGCGAGCUGGGUUCAGAACGUCGUGAGACAGUUCGGUCCCUAUCCACCGUGGGCGUGAGAAAUUUGAGAGGAUCUGUCCUUAGUACGAGAGGACCGGGAUGGACAGACCGCUGGUGUACGAGUUGUACUGCCAAGUGCACAGCUCGGUAGCUACGUCUGGGAAGGAUAAGUGCUGAAGGCAUCUAAGCACGAAACCAACCUCGAGAUAAGAUUUCUAUGAGAUUACUUGAAGAAAACAAGAUAGAUAGGUCAGAGGUGUAAAGAUAGUAAUAUCAAAGCUAACUGAUACUAAUAAAUCGAAAACUUGACU
rnacentral:rRNA from 1 species